UUUCUUUCCUUUUUUUACUUGAACACACAGGAGAACUAUGUGCAUUGCAUUAAGAAGACGAAAGUGUUGAAAAUUUAUAGCAGAUUUUCGAUCAUCACAUUCGCGUCCUUGAAUAUGUGGAUACUACCAGACUACUUGACUCUAUGCUCUAGUUGCUACUAAAGCCACUAAGUCCUUAGCACUGACAAGACACCAUAGGUGAGCUUCUUUCUCAGGCUCUCAGCAACCUGUAAUAGGCGCUGGAGUGAAAGACCUAGACGCUAAACAGAAUGAACUCAUUUACAUAUGGCAACGAGUGAAGUAGGUAUAAAAUGAAUGUCCUACUUCAGUACCAACUUAAGUUCUGAUAAAAAUAAAGAUUGACUUGUGGAGAGCUAUAGCUUGUUGUACCUAUACUAUUUGGGGUGAAAAAAGGGACCAAACAAUUAUGAAAAUGAAACAACAUAUGUUGCUAUUUUCAAUUAGGAAAUGAUUGCAAAUAAUGAAGAUUAAUUAAGAAAAAACUUACAGUUCAGUUAGAUUAGCCCAGUUCCCAAUAUAAUCUGGUAUUUGCCCAGUAAAAUCAUUAUCUGAUGCCCACCUGAACACAAAGAACAAUAACAAAUAAGAUUGAGUGGCAUGGAACAGUACAGUCAACAAAACAUCUCUUAUAUGCAUACAAUGUUUUCAUUCUUGUAAGACUAGAAAGCGAUGAUGGUAAGGGACCACUUAAGCCAGCGCUAUCAAUAUACCUGCAAUUAAGAGAUGCAAAUAUAAGCACAGAAAUAAGAAGCCGACUAAUUCAAGCAAACAAUUCUACGAAAGAAAUAUAUAGUGCCCAAAACAAGUUAACACGCACAGCUGCUCAAGUUUAACCAAAUUCCCUAGUUCCAACCGAAGGGAACCAUUUAAGUUGUUUGAGCUAAAGGACCUGAAACCCACCAAAAAAAAUAUAGGUUAAUCACAAAAAAUGAGAAAUAUCUAUUCCUAGAAGCAUAAUUACUGGCAGAAAGCUACAUUUCUAGACAGUGGUUAAUCAGUUAAGGAAUGAAGAUGUUAAGUAGAAAUCUCUAACCUUUCCUAGGGAAAUACGGUGAUACAAGAUUAGUAAGGUUCCACAUUACAAAAAUUUAUUUCUUACAGCCAUACGAGAUUGGUAAGGUUCCCGAGCUCCUUUGGAACAGAUCCGGAUAAUGAAUUGAUGCCCAGAUCCCUGUGUAUUGGACAGAAUGAGAUGAUGUUCUGAUGUUAAGCAAAAACAUGUAAUGUAAUAACGGUUUAAGAUUUAAAUCUCACAUGUACUGCAUAGCAGUCAAUUUCCCGAGGAACGAUGGUAAAGGCCCUGUUAAGUAAUUUUGUCCUAAGUUCCUGAAACAACAUCAGAAAAGAUAUUAACAAAGAUUAAAGUUGGCUCAUCAUGUUUGAAUUUUGGUGUAAUGUUGGAAUACGGUGUUUCCAGAAUAUUACAAUUAUGCUGAACCUCUAGAAUAUCUUCAUAAAGAAAUAGGCAAUAGGCAUCAGCUAUUUACAAAGUCCCCCAAAAACCACAAUCCACAAGUAAAAGUCCUAUUGGACCCUUCAGGUACAAUGCAAGAAAGUUGAGAGUUCAUACAGAUUAGUCAAACGCGUGAGGUUCUGUAGUUCUGCCGGUAUCGCACCAACCGCAUUCAGCGCAUGUAUUUUCCUGCAAGCGAGCAAAGUCAAGUACAUGGACCGUCAGCUUACACUAUCUCAAUUUAACCAUCAUCAUCGCUGUUCGUCAGAUAUAAACACCAGCAGGAGGCGUAUGGAGCACCGCUGAAUCCUCUAGCUAGCACUUUUCAGAUACAGAGGUAACGACGUACUAGCACAGCGAGGCGGACGCAUCGCAUACCCAAAGGCUCGGUACAAACAGCGAAACCUCCGGCAGGCCAUCCGUCGAACACCUGCCGUGCGUAGCGGCAAGACGUGAGCUCUGAGUUGGCGACUUACAGCUUUGUGACGUGACAGACGGUGUUGUUCUGGCCGGAGCACUCGCACUUGAUGGCCGGGUUGAAGUUCGGGUCUGUGUCGAUGUUGGUGCCGUCCGUGGCGGCGCCGGUGCAGGGAUCGCCACUGAUGUUCCAUGCCGACGACGCCGUCUGGCCGAGCUUGGCGAACACCGCAUUCACCGCCGCCGCUGCAAAACCGAAAACGGGUUCACACUUCACACACAUCCCAAAGACCCAAACCAACGGCAACAACGACUACCCGCUCAUCGAUCGUCCGAUGGCCCGGUCCCGCGGCGAUCGGACGGCCACGGAUCAGGACCCACGCUGACAUGGCGGAGCCGACCAAGCCAAGUCUGAAUUUUAUGGUGGGCAAGCAAAAGGCGAAACACGAUAUCGAUGGAUUGAUCAUUGAUGCAAGCUGAUUUGAAACCCCCUCGCUAAUCUGAAAGAAAGAACUGGAGACAUGCACGCUCACCUUCAACCGGAUCGGUCCUUGUCCUCGCUUGCUGAGCUUGCGCAGAUGCAGCUAGAAGAAGCAGCAGCAGCAGCAACGUCGGGAGCGCAGCAGAGCCAUGGCGGCACGAACAGCUGGGUCCAGGCCUCCUCAUCUCCUUUCCCUCUCUCUGGCCUCGAGCUCGGGAUUGGCUACCCCUUCCGAGGGCGAGCGAGAUAUAUGGUGACCUGAUGGAGACUCUUAUGGCGACUAGCUUGUCUCAGGGCCCCGCCGCCGCGGCAGACACGUACAGCUCCCUCGACGCUGCGCCACCAUGCAAGGACGGCGCAACUAGGGAAUUUUCUAUGGUCAAGUGGCGCCACUGCUCUGUCGAAUGCGACGGGCCAACAAACUACCUCCAGGCUCCCACAUGGAAGCAGAGCCGAAGGCGAUCGACGACGACGGCUGACCGUGUUGUUCUGUGCGAGGAGACUUACAGGUGGGUGACGAGGCAGACAGUGUUGUUCUGGUAGGUGCAGUCGCACUUGAUGCCCGGGUUGAAGUUGGGGUUGUCAUCUAGAACGGUGCCGUCCGUAGCGGCGCCUGUGCAGGGGUCGCCGCUGAUGUUCCAUGCCGACGCCGCCGUCUGGCCGAGCUUGGCGAACACCGCGUUCACCGCCGCCGCUGCAACGAUAUCGAGUUGAAACCGUGAUCAGAUUCACAUGUGAUGGCGAAAAGGUAAGUCUAUUUACACCACCUAGCUUGGCCGUCUUUUAAUUUCUUCCAGGAGGAGGAACGUAUAAUUUUUUCAAGCGAAUGAGGAGGAAACAUCCUCACGUGAAAAGCAGUUUAUACUUUCAUAGGAGUACAUGAGAUGGAACCUACAAUCCCCUAGGAAAGCUGAUCGAUCAGGAACGAACAGCUCAUGGAAAGCUCUUUUUUUAGAGAAAGGAAUAAUAUCCGGCCUUAACAUUCACAAGUGAAUAACAUUCAUGGAAAGCUCUUAUGUUUCAGGAAUAGGAAACGAGGUGGGUAUACCUUCAGUUGGAUCUGUCCUUGUUCUUGGUGCCGCUCGUCGAGCUCCGGCAGAUGCAACUAGAAGAAGCUGCAGCACGGAGAGCACGAAACCUUGGAGACAAGAACUCGAUUUCAACCUCAUCUCCCUGACUCCCUCCUGCAUCUGCUCCCGCUAGCUUGGGCGCCGUCGCACUGCUAACGAUCUCCUAGCCUCAUAAGGAGUCUGUUUGUUUUUCCACGCGCAAUAAAUUUGCAACUGCCAUGAAAACAGUUGCACAUGAGUGGCUACAUACUUUUCAAAGCCUUCUCACACUUCUUCAGAACUAAAUAAAGCUCGUGCCGACAGAUAUUAGCCCAGAUCAUUCAUGACUGUCAUGUUCUAGAUUUACCCCGGAGAAUAAUGAAAUGUUUGCAAUGGACCAAUUCAAUGGAGUAACAAGGUCACACGUGCAUUGGACAUGGACAUAUACAUCAUGUCGAGUCUGAUAGUGUUUGGUUCGUUACCUUAGCACGUAAAUGUAAAGAGUGUAUUUGGCGGCGAAACGGGUGAUUAACCUCUUUGUUUGGUUGCAUUCUGGUAACGUAUUCAGAUUACGGUGUGGGUGUUGUAUUUGAUUACGAUGGAGGAGUAGGGGUAACAAGCUUGUAUAGAUAUUAUUUAGGUAAGGGAUUCGAUUAUAGCGUCAGUUGAUUACAAACCACCACAACCAACAUAUGUAAUGCAAUUCGUUACCUUCAUAUUACGUUACAUGUGAGCCAACCAAACACCACCUUUAUUUAUUUCAAGUUGCCUGCCUCGUUGUGAUGUGUGAACCAAUGAUGAGUUUACUCGCAGCACAUUUUGCUCACUAUUUUUUACAGUUUAAUUACCACUUCCCCUGUAGCUUAUUCACAACCAUGCUAUCAUAAACCUAAGAAAAUUAUGGGAGAUAUUUUUAUUUACAGUUUAGCACUUUCAUUAAAUAUUUUACAUAUAUUCAAUAAUGUGGCCAAAUCGUGUUUUCUACGAAGGCUUGUGAACUUGAUAUUACAAAUAUUAUAUAAUUCCCAGCAUACGCAUUACACUAAAGAUUUUACCAGAAGCGUGAUAUUGCUCCACCUCGAGUGCAGAGUGGGAGUGAACUUACACGUUCUAAAAUAUAAACAAUAUACUCUUGUUACACCGCUGGAGAGGAGGCAUCGCUGGAGUCGCACUCUGCCCUGUUGAGCACGCAUCAUCCCUCCACUCUGUACGGAUCUCUUUGGCGCAGCUCCUGCCGGCUCCGGCUCCAUAACUGUAGCGCACUAUAGCUCAUUGUAGCGCGUGCCGGAUUUGGAGCCGAGGGAGCAAUUGUUUCUAGCUUCACCGCUCCUUCUUCGUAACUGUAGUGCAAUGUAGCUCAUCGUAGUGCGUACCGAAUUUGAAAACGGGGGAGCAAAUUUUUCUAGAUUCACUGGCUCCUCCUCUUCUCCUUUUUAGCUUCAAUAUGGGUUUUGACUCUUUGCUACAUAACAGCACAACAGCGAUACAAGUAACGUGAUAGAGGAGACCAGAGCCGUGAGGGAGCGGUGCCAAAAGGGUCAUACGGGUGUCUUCCUCUAUUUUCUUUGCAACAAUCGAUCACAGCACAUAACCUAACACAAAAUAUGUGCAAAAGCUGAAUAUCCUGAGAACGUUUGUGACGUGCAUUUACAGAAAACUGUCCGUCAACUUGCAAAUCACCGUCCUUCUUCUCGAUGACGGAGCUAGCUAUGAACGGCGAAGAGGUGUGCGACGAAGCGGCCCUUGGGGCCAAGCUCGACUGCCCGCUCAUAUUGCUGCUCAUGAAGCUGCUGGUGUUGCCUCCCUUGAUCUGCCAUUCGGUGAUGUAGCUGGGCUUGUUCACCACCUCGCCCACCUCCACGUCGUCCCCGGCCAGCAUCGACACAGCCCGAGACAUGGACGGCCGCUGGUGGGGCGAGCCCUGGGUGCAGAGCAGGGCCACGUGGAUGGCACGGAGCACCUCGUUGCUGUUGAAGGCCAUGUUUAGUUACCCCAAAUUCCCAACUUUGGCACUAUGCAUAAAGAAGAUUCCCCAUCACAUCAAACUUGCGGUACAUGCAUGGAAUAUUAAAUGUAGACGAAAUCAAAAAUUAAUUGCACAGUUUUGUUGUACUUUGCGAGACGAAUCUUUUGAGCCUAAUUAGUCAAUGUUUGAACAAUAAUUCACAAAUACAAACGAAAUGCUACAGUUGCGCAUUUAUGGCAAAAUGCCAAUUUUGUCACUCCCAAAUUGGGAACUAAACAAGGCCGAAGUCAGCAAUACAGUUGCCAAACCUGAAAGCACAGAAAAUUGUCUAGAAAUGCUAAGAUGCCAGGCUAGCGUGACAUGUGUGUAGGGACGUUUCAUUUAACAAAUUAUAACCUCGUAGUAAUACCGUAGGGACGUUUCAUUUUACAAAUUAUAAUCUCGUAGUAAUACCGUAUCCCUCGGGAUUAAAAUUAUUGGUGAGUUGCAUGACAAUAACAAGUAUAUCGGUGAAUGAGUACUCUUUGUAAUUCUAAAUUUCAACUCUUGAGUUGGUUGCUCCAGUAAACAACCAUGUCUUUCUCUCACCUCCCCUUCUCUCACUCUAUAUUGUAAAAUAUCCUACGCAGCAUUAAGAUGGCUGACUUAGGUAUUUCUUUAAAAUAAGUAUAUUGGUGUCGUUUAACAGGUAGUCUUGUGCAUUGCUUGGUAAUCUUUGAGACAACCUAAUAGAUAACUGUAAAGCAUGGCUUGUCUUUUACUUAUGUCAUAAGUAUAGAAAAAGAAAUAUUGUGAGUUGCAUGGAAAUAACAAACUAGUAUAAUGAUGAGAGCGUGGUUCUAUAAUCCUAAAUUUUUACCUUAUGAGUUGGUUCUUUCGCGAACAGUCACUUCCUUCUUUCCCCUCCACAUCAUCAAAAAUUAUAUAUGGCGAGACGAGUGGCGUGGCGUGUAACAAUGUAGGCAUGGUUCCAUGCAUGUUGGACGAAGCAACGGUGUGUGUGGUAUUAGCAUGAUGAAGCACAUAGAAUUCCUGUUCUGUCGAGAAGGCAAAGCAGAGCGCUAUAUGGUGUUCGAGCUAAUCGCGAACAAACUGGACAUACCUUCAGUAGGAUCUGUCCUUGUCCUCUGUGCUUGCUGAGCUCCGGCAUGCAGAUACAAAGAGACGAAGCAGUAGCACCAAGAGCACGAAGCCAUGGAGACAAGAGCUCGGUUUCAACCUCAUCUCUCUCCUCUCUGCUCUAGCUUGGUUUGGUGGGAGAUAUAUUACACGAUGACCCAGCAUUUAGGAAUGGACAUUGUCUCAGCUGGGAAGGUUACAAGAAGCAACAGUUCUUUUUUUUUUUGAACAAACGGCACGGAUUGUGCCAUUUCUAUUAGAAGAGAUUUACAGGUAAAGCAACAGUUCUACAAAGUACACUAAAGUCAAGAAGAUGACGGAUGGUGACCCUGUUAGAAGAGUCAGAGCGGUUGCAAUCGUUGACGCCUUACAGGUUUUUUGACCUAUUCCUGACGCUUCAAUAUGGAAUAUCUUUUUUUUUCCUUAGAUGCACGAUAGAUCUCUGCAACUGUCUUGAAGACGACUUGCUCAUGGUUGGCAUUAUACAUUUUUCAAAGAUUUAGAGCAGCUAAGCACGGGCCAUUAUACAAUAGUCGAGUAGUUCUAAAUUUUGCCUGCCUACUUAGCUCUAGUGUGAAGUGCGAGAACAGUUUCAUGCACGCAUUGAAGUCGCACCUAAAUUUUCCUCAAAAAAGAAGAAGAAGAAAAGUUGAACAGAAAAGAUCCACGUGAAGCAACCAUCAAGCACAGCACAUAACCUAACACGAUAUUAUGUAGCAUUUACACACAAAAAAUGUACUAAUAAUUUUGCUACAUCUAACAUUCUAACGUGCCGUAAAUCUUGAAAACCAUAUAUGCACAUCCAAAUAGACAAGACCCUCCAACAUCAUCACCAUUUGAUUAUGCAUACAAAAAUUGGACUGCAGACGAUUCAAAAUCGAACAAAAAAUUUGCCUAAAAAGAAAAUCGGGCCGAAAAAGAUCUACACGGAAGCAACAAUCGGACACAGCACACCACCUAACACAAUAUAUGUGCAAAAGCUGACAAUCCCGAGACUGUUUGUAACGUGAAUUUACAAGGAACAAUCCGUCGAUCGCUUGACCGAACUUGCUAGUCAUCACCGGCCUUCUUCGAUGACAGAGGUCAGGUAUGGAGACGAUGUGUCUGACGAGGCUGCCCUCCGUGCCAAGCUCGACUGCCCGCUGACAUUGCUGCUCAUGAAGCUGCUUGUGUUGCCGCCCUUGAUCUGCCACUCAGUGAUGUAGCUGGGCUUGUUCACCACCUCACCCACCUCCACGUCUCCUGCCAGCAUCGACACAGCCCGGGACAUGGCCGGCCGCUGGUGGGGCGAGCCCUGGGUGCAGAGCAGGGCCACGUGGAUCGCACGGAGCACCUCGUCACUGUUGAAAUCAGCAAGCUUGGGGUCUAACAUGUCCAGUGGGUGGUUUUCCUCGUACAGUUGCCAGACCUGAAAUCAUAGAGAGAAGAUAAGCUGCCAGGUUGGAGUAGCUUGUCUCAGGCAAAUUCACUAAUUCGGAUAUAUAAUAUGUCUGCCAUGUUAGUCAAAAGAAGGGAAUUAAAAUGUGAUCAACCUCUUGUACUGCAAUAACAUCCGUCAUGCUGGCAUGCUGAAAUAGCACACUACUAUAUUCAGGUAGGAUAUAAACCUAAGUAUAGCACAAUUAGCAUUUUAUUUAUAGUUUAGCAAUUUUUCUGAAAUUUAGCCCACUACUGUAUUCAAGUAGUGUAUAAACCUAAGCAUAGUACUAGCAUUUUGUUUACAGGUCAGCAACUUCACGCAAUUUUUUCCUAACAGAAUGAUGUGGCAAACAGUGAUGUAAUGAAGGCUUGUGAACUCCAUUAUAAAUUCCUAGCAUAAACUUUACAGACGAUUUUACCAAUAGUACGGAGACUAGAGUGCAACAAUGCCUUGCCUCAAGUUUAGAGUUCAGAGUGAACUUACCCAUUCUAAAAUAUAAACCUUAUCUUCAUCAAGUGUAUUGUCAAAGUUUGGCCUUCCAGCUAAAGUCUCCAAAACAACCACGCCAAAUGCAAACACAUCAACUUUCUCCGUCAUAUGACCUCUCAUGGCAUACUCAGGUGCAAGAUAACCACUUCACAGAAUAUUUACAAGAAGUUUUAUAUUAGCUCACAUGUGAAAAAUAUUAACAUAAAGGGGGAAAGAUGGAAAUGUACUUACAAUGUACCAGCAACUUUUGUGCUGACAUGUGUCUUCUUGUCAUCAUAAAGUUUGGCGAGCCCAAAAUCGGAGAUCUUAGGGUUAAGAUUGGUGUCAAGUAAGACAUUACUAGCCUUUAUGUCCCGAUGCACGACACGGAUGGCAGACUCUUCAUGGAGGUAAGCAAGACCUCUUGCAAUGCCCAAGCAUAUCUCAAAGCGUGUUUGCCAGUCCAAGUUCAGUCUCCCACUACCUGCAAAUAAGUGUUUAUUUUUUAAUGUCCAUAUAACAAAUGUGACCCCCACCCCCACCCCGCACACACGCACACGCAAAUACACACAUUCAUAGUUGCACUAAUUGAAUGAACUCGUACCAAACAGUGCUUUAUCAAGGCUUCCAUUCUCCAGGUACUCAUAAACCAACAGCGGUUUAUUGCCCUCAAGGCAGCAACCAUACAACUUAACGAGAUUCCUGUGUUGCACUCGAGAAAUAGUUUCUAUUUCAGUUGCAAAUUCCUUUUUUCCCUGAUUAGAUGUUUCAGAUAGCUGUUUCACAGCCACCACCCUUCCAUCGCUUAAUUUACCCUGCAAGAAGAUGCCAUUUUAUCAACCAUGUGCAGAAACUAGAAAAUAAACAGGAAAACAAUAGAAAAAAGGGAAUGUAGUGGGAAAUGACCCCACUGGUGUGUAUAUAUUAAUAUUAUAUUAGUGAAAAUAAAUUAAAGGAGUUCACACCACCCAAAAUAUUGUUGAACUAACAAAGCUAGCUGAUUUUCCAUAACAAAACACACAAAUGGGACAUCCUUUAGCUUUGCGCAACUUAGAAAAGCUACUUUUAGAAGGAAAUUUGAUGGCAAAUUCAUAUCCUUGUGUACUUCUGAUGGACUAACCUUAUAAACUGAUCCGUAUCCCCCUUCGCCAAGAAGGUUAUUUGAACUGAAAUUUUCAGUAGCAGUCCUUAGUUCACCAUAACUGAGUACGUUAGGUCUUCCAACAAUACUGUACAGCUCUACAAACAUAGCCAAAAGACAACUUUAGAAAUAUGCCCCUUAUCUUGGUUAAGAUUUAAGAAUACACUGCGAUACUUGAUUAUGGCAUAUCAUGUACCUUGUUGCUCCAAUGCUAGUUUCCUCCUUUUCUGCCUCCACAUACAAAGUCCAGCAAGUGCUACUAGUACCAAAACUGCUGCACCAAUCACAACUCCAACAACUAUACCGGUUUUGUUACUACUAUUCUUAUGUGCAGCGCUACGCACUGUAGGUUUGAAAUCUGUCAGAAAGUGCACUAGUUAGAAAAAUGUGAUCUAACGGCUGAACCAGUACAUUUUACCUUACCCUUUUUAGGAGUUUUUCAAUAUUUACUAGUUUUUGUUUGAAGAGAGCGAAUUAUGUAUCCCGGGGUUCUAGCGCCCCCACUAACAAAAACAACAUGUUGUAAUGUUUCAAAAAUCUAAAAAAAUCAUGUAUUUAGCACACAUUAAAUUAAAUAAACCUGCAGAAAUUCAAUGUCAAAUUCAUCCUACAUGUCAGGGAAAAAUACGACUUGUGUUUUUUGAAUCUUGUUAUCAGAGAUGAAUUUAAAAUUGGAUUAUCAUAGUUUCACUAAUGGGGAUCAGAAUCAGAACCCCUGGUAACAAAUGAAUUUCCUAUAUCAGAAAGUGUGCAUGAGAACAUUCAGCAGAAAUCAGAAUGGAUAUGUACCACUAGACAUAAGUAUAUGUGUAUGCAUUCCUUCUAUCAUAAGCAUUUCUCAAAGUAGAAAUUAUAUAUGCAUCUUUUUACCCCAAGAAAAUUGUUUAAAAAGUAUUAAAACAAUGAUUUGUAGCUAAGGGGAGUACUUGGAGUUGCACUCAAAGCUGAAAUUGCAGGCCCAUAGUAGCCUUGACUAGGGAUGCAACAAGUGCCCUUGCCAGCCCAGAAAAGAUGAAUCUCAAGGAAGUUUCUGGUGACAGGAACAGUAUACUGCUUCUUGACAGCAGUGUAAGAUUUCCCGCCUGCUUCCUUUCUUAUGUCAAAGUUCUGCUCCUUACGCUCACCCUGUACCAAAAGCAAGAAAAAACAAUUAGAAAAUCUCAAUCAGCCCAUAAGCUAAAAACUCAAGUAAGUGUAAGUUAUCAGCAUGACUGGAACCUACCUGAACAUAGAUAUCAAAAACCCUUUUACCUAAACUCUUCCAGGUCUGCAUGUCUUCGAAGUCAAACUCUGCAAAUUGAAGUGUGACUGUAUAGUUUCCAUUCUCAAGUCCAAUGCCAUAGUAGCGUAAUGAUGAUGGAGACAUCCUUGCUGUCUGGAACAGUUCUGAAUCUAGAGUAUUCUGAAACUGGCGUGUGCUGUAGAUUAUGUAACUAUUAUUUGUUGCAUCCAUAAACCUCCCAACAUUGCUAACACCCCACGUUGGUGCUCCUGUAACAUAAUAGGAAGCAGGUCCCAGAUCGGCGCUGUCAGGCUGAUACAUGGAAUUAUCUGAGCCUGACAUAGAUCUCUGGCUCCCACAGUCCACAGCAAAGGAGGAAGCUGCAAGCAUGUUAAAUUAUUUAAUACUGAUGUUAUUUAGCGUAUCCUUAAAGUGCAAAAGUGGAAGCUCACAUUGUGGAGAGCCAAGAAAGCAGGGUGUGUCUCGCUGAAGGCACCCUAGCCCCGAAGGUAAGGCACUGAAGAUGUCAAACAUUGUCAAUUUGAAUCCAAAAUAUGAGCUGAGGCCUGAGAGAACAUAAAAAUUGUGCUUGAAGACUUUAAUGACCAAUUUGAAUACAAACUGACCUGUUAUUGGAGUUGUUGAUUACGAAAUUGUUCGCCACCAAAUUCCUAUGUAGAAUGAAACAUGCAAAAAAAGAUUAGAAGGCACUAUUGCGGAGAAUCAAGAGAAACCAAAGCAGGGACAAAAUUGAUUCAGUUUUUUAAGAUAAGCAGUAAGGUAAAGUACACAUCUGCUUGUUCAAAGAUUUUGAAUCAUAGAUGACGUCAAAUGCAAAAAGGAAAGAAAAAAAAGAAAAAAUAAAUAUGAUCUAGGUGCAGCAAAAGCAGCUUUUUAGAUGUAGUCGAUAUUAAAAAAAUGCUAGUUUAAUACAAGUGUAUGAUAUUGGAUUAUAGUAAUAGGGCUGAAUUUUUGGUCAGUUAAUCAGCUUGCAAAACUCAGCACUUACAAUUUCAAAUUCGGACUAACCCAGGAGGGAAAGUUUCCUGAUAGCUGGUUGUAGGAAAAGUCUCUACACAAAAGAAAGUGUGUAAAUGUUAUAGAUAAACGCCUUCCUGGUUUUACUUCACAAAUGAAAGUGGACAAACAUACAAGUUUUUAAGAGAAGUUCCUAUAGAACUUGGAAGGCUUCCUGAAAGACUAUUAUUCCCGAGAAACCUGGGCAGAUCAAAUUUGCGCAUUAGCAAGAUUGAUGAUCAUUGUCAUCAGAACCUAGAAAUAAGUAUCAGAAGGCAAGAUAAACCAUACAAGAAGCUGAGUGAAUUCAGAUUCAGCAGAGCUUGCGGUACUAGGCCAGUGAUAUUGUUAAAACUCAAAUCCCUGUAACAGUAGAACAAAUGAGACUAGGAGAGAAAGGGGUCAUCAAACAAUGCAUAAUCCACAGCAGUCCAUUAAAGCAUCUAGCAAAACAUGCAGUUGACUGGAGUUUAGGAAGAAACAAAAUGUCUUACAGUAGGGUUAAUGUUGCAAACUGUGAAAAGUUUACUGAUGCCAGGUUAUCAGAUAUCCUGCAGUUCCUCAAAACUCUGCAAUGAAACAUGUCAAGAGUUUUCGGAUUUAACAAUUGGUUACACUACAGAAAAUAUUAAGAUGUAGUUUGAGUCAUCAAAUGAAUGGCAAGUUAUGCAUACAAGGUGUUCAAAGAUGUCAUGUUACUGAUGAAUGCCAGUGAAGAACUUCCAUUUACUAUGUCACCUAUUCGUCUGCACCACAGAAAUAGAUAGUUCAUUCUUCCCAUCUGCAAACUUGAAAUUUAAGGAUGAUAGUACCUACUCUUUCCAUAAGUAGUCACUUACAAGUUUGUCAGUUCGACGAGAUUAGAAAGAGUGGUCGGAAGGGGACCUUGAAACGAAUUGCCUUGAAACCGCCUACAAAUUGAAAUUCUUGUUACUAUUUUUCAAGCAUCAUUUAUUUACCAAUGUGUUUACCUACUACCUAGUAAAGAAACAAGAAAGAUGGGACUUCUUAGGUAAAACAAGAAAUUUAUAAUGAAAAGCAUUAGAAAAAAGGUUCAAAGAUUACUAAUACUAGCAUCCAAAACGUAGCAUCGUAUUAUAAUGAAUAGUGAAACAAAAAGAUUUAAUAUUUACUAAUAUGAUAAUAACAGCUCACGCCUGACCUAAAUAAAUUAGUUAAGAGGCCACUAAAUGGAAAUCAGUAGAGUAAAAGACACAUACACUUUUCUUUCCUUUUUUUACUUGAACACACAGGAGAACUAUGUGCAUUGCAUUAAGAAGACGAAACUGUUGAAAAUUUAUAGCAGAUUUUCGAUCAUCACAUUCGUGCCCUUGAAUAUGUGGAUACUAUCAGACUUCUUGACUCUAUGCUCUAGUUGCUACUAAAGCCACUAAGUCCUUAGCACUGACAAGACACCAUAUGUGAGCUUCUUUCUCAGGCUCUCAGCAACCUGUAAUAGGCACUGGAGUGAAAGACCUAGACACUAAACCGAUGAACUCAUUUACAUAUGGCAACAAGUGAAGUAGGUAUAAAAUGAAUGUCCUACUUCAGUGCCAACUUAAGUUCUGAUAAAAAUAAAGAUUGACUUGUGGAGUGCUAUAGCUUGUUGUACCUGUACUAUUUGGCGUGAAAAAAAGGACCAAACAAUUAUGAAAAGGAAACAACAUAUGUUGCUAUUUUCAAUUAGGAAAUGAUUGCAAAUAAUGAAGAUUAAUUAAGAAAAAACUUAC
rnacentral:lncRNA from 1 species